UACGUAGGGUCCGAGCGUUGUCCGGAGUUACUGGGCGUAAAGGGCGCGCAGGUGGCGGUGUUGGCCCGGCGUGAAAGCCCCCGGCUCAACCGGGGGAGGGUCGUCGGGGACCGCACCGCUUGAGGGCGGUAGGGGCUGGUGGAAUGCCUGGUGUAGUGGUGAAAUGCGUAGAGAUCAGGCGGAACACCCGUAGCGAAGGCGGCCAGCUGGGCCGUCCCUGACACUGAGGCGCGAAGGCGUGGGGGAGCGAACGG
rnacentral:rRNA from 1 species